GCUCCUCACUGAGUUCUUACUAUGGGCAAUCAAGGUCCAGAAUUAUACUUCAUCAAUUUUGCAGGAAAAUUUAUUGUUUCAUUUUUCAUAAGCAAAGCUAUGAGUCUGCCCUCGUUAAAGGAGAUAAUGGAGACAUUUUGGAGGAUGCUUCAAGGAGCUGACCAACAUCAUUCUAAGACAACUGAUUUCCAUCCAGUACAUGACCAAACAGGACCAAGAGGAAGGACUGUGGUUCUAGACCACCUUUCUGUGCUCCCAAUUGUGGGACUGUAGAAAAGCAGACUCACCCCUUCGGCACCUCCUGCUAGUGCCUUCCGGGAAUUAGCUCAAUUCAGCUCUGGAGCUCCC